rnacentral:rRNA from 1 species
UACGUAGGGGGCAAGCGUUGUCCGGAUUUACUGGGCGUAAAGAGCGUGUAGGCGGCCACGCAGGUCCGUUGUGAAAACUGGAGGCUCAACUUCCAGCCGUCGACGGAAACCGUGUGGCUAGAGUCCGGAAGAGGAGAGUGGAAUUCCUGGUGUAGCGGUGAAAUGCGCAGAUAUCAGGAAGAACACCAAUGGCGAAGGCAGCUCUCUAGUACGGUACUGACGCUGAGACGCGAAAGCGUGGGGAGCGAACAGG